rnacentral:tRNA from 1 species
CAGGGCAUGGCUGAGUAGAAAAGCGUUUCCCUUACACCGAAAAGACACCCGUGCGACCCGGGUUGCCCUGA